UAUUUGUGAGCUUCUGCAAAGUUAUUCUGACCAAGAUGGAGAAAUGCCCUAAAACAUAAGAGUAAGAAGAAGAGAGAAAAUCUUUUCUUGUGCUUCUCAGACUGCACACAGACGUGGCCUCCUGGCAAAUGAGAGACGGCUUCUGUGAUGCCACGAUUCCAGACCCUUUUGUAAAGCCACAGGCUUUUCAAGUGCUAUUGUUCAAGGUUAUGUAAGCAAGCCAAUGGGUUUCUUGGGCUUCGUCUUCCAUUCUAUUGCACUGGAAGGAAAAGAUUCCACUCUGACAGUAAAAACCACUAAUUCAAGAAUGUCCAAUAAUCCCUCUUCCCCCAAGGCCCCUGAUAAGAGCAAGAACUGAGGAAGACCGGAGUCCCUUCAGAGCCUGUUAACACUGUUCUAUGAAUUGGACAGACAGAUUGUUCCUCUGAGACAUCAGGCAGUCUCCUUGUAUCGUACCCAAGGUUGGGAAUCUUGCCUUUCUGCAAACCAGCCUCUGAUGACUCUUAGUAAAGAAAGAGCAGAGUUGGGAAGCCGGCUCCUCUCUUCAGAACAGUCUCCUAAAGGGAAUCUCGUCUAUUUUACUUGAUGGAUUGCAAGUCUGUUCAGCAAUGUAAGAGGACACAAGCGGUUUUUCCAAGAAUGAUUUGACAAAUGUUUUAAUAUUCUGCCUGCGACAGGCUAUUUUCAGUGUGAAUCACCUAAUGAUAAUAUUCUUUUAAUCAAAAGAAGACUGGGUUAGAUUGCUUCUUUAAAAAGAAUCAUUUCUUUCAGCUGACUCCCUGCAAUUGUCCUGAUCCCAAUGCUACAGAUUCCUUAGGUGCAUUUGCUAUCUAACCCAGUUGUAGAGGCUGGAUUUCAUUCUUCAUGGUUUGGGAGCAGGACACUUGAAAGACAACUUCCCUCUGCCUCGAACUCCUCAGCCUCAAGAUCUUCUGAAUUUGCUUCUCAAGACCCUCCAAAGCAGGACUUUCUCAUAGGUCAUACCCAUCACUUAUCUUAGUGUCAUUCUGAUGCCAGGCCAAGUUCUUUUUUAUUUUUCAAGAGCUUUAGUGCUUCAUUCCAAAGUUUUCCUUCAUAACAGUUUUACAAACCAACAGCUUUUGUUACUAUUGUAUACUGAGUGUAUUAUAUAGUGAGUUAAUUUCUAAUUGCCAGCCACCUCCCAGAAUUUAUUACAAGCUGUCUAAUACAUAUUAUUCAGAACCAAAUAUUAAAUUAUUCAAUAAUCAAAUAUUAAAACUCUUCAAUUUAGUUAUAAAAGUGAGGAAACUCUGAAAUAUUGUAAAAUUAUAAAAAUAUCUCAAAGCCUUCUUGGGAGUCUCCACUUGUGAAGAAAAUGGUUGUCCCAUUCCGUUUUUCACAAAGUGACUAAAUUUCAGUGGUAACUUCUUGGAGGUUUAUGGUCUGAUUCAGUGUUACUCCAUUUGUAACUGACUGAUUCAGUGAGUUGUCAGCAGCAAGCUAAAUAUGGCCAAUGUAAGGGGCAAUUAAAUAUCCCUUCUUGUGUUUGUUAUUAUGCUGAAAACAGAAAUUUUCUUUUGGUAUUAAAGUCACAUGGGGAAAAAACAAGAGCAGCAUAGAUUUCAUGCUGAAGACAAAUGCAGCAUUGAUUUUUUCAAAAAGCACCAAUGCCACAGGAAACCAAAAAAUAAAUUUCCCUAUCAAAAAAAUUUACUAUGUUACAAAAAUGGAAGCAGGCAAAGUGAGACAGCACCUCAGGCAACUUAUUGUUAGUAUUUGCUUGUUACUGUACUUUUACAUCAGGAAUGGGAGAAAUGUUAAGGAUUUUCUUCCUUUAUGCGAAAAUAAUUUGGCUGGCUGUGUCAACUACACACAUUGCCUUGAUUAGAUGAUGUGGCUAGGGCUGCUUGUUGCUAAGAGGGCAAAAGGGUCCUUUUCUUUCUCUUGAGAACCACUACAGAGAAUUCGGCAUUGCAAUCUGGGGAAUGAAAAGUUAUUUUCAUGAAUUCCAUAGAAAAUGUGGAGUAUUUAUUACACCCCAUUCAUCUUUCAGUAUUUGUGUGUUUAUGAUAAAGUGGAAAAUAUCA